rnacentral:tRNA from 1 species
GGCGCGGUCGCCAAGUGGUAAGGCAAGGCUCUGCAAAAGCCUUAUUCGUCGGUUCGACUCCGUCCCGCGCCU